rnacentral:rRNA from 1 species
GACGAACGCUGGCGGCGUGCUUAACACAUGCAAGUCGAACGGAAAGGCCCUGCUUUUGUGGGGUGCUCGAGUGGCGAACGGGUGAGUAACACGUGAGUAACCUGCCCAUGACUUUGGGAUAACUUCAGGAAACUGGGGCUAAUACCGGAUAGGAGCUCCUGCUGCAUGGUGGGGGUUGGAAAGUUUCGGCGGUUGGGGAUGGACUCGCGGCUUAUCCGCUUGUUGGUGGGGUAGUGGCUUACCAAGGCUUUGACGGGUAGCCGGCCUGAGAGGGUGACCGGCCACAUUGGGACUGAGAUACGGACCAGACUCCUACGGGAGGCAGCAGUGGGGAAUAUUGCACAAUGGGCGGAAGCCUGAUGCAGCAACGCCGCGUGCGGGAUGACGGCCUUCGGGUUGUAAACCGCUUUCGCCUGUGACGAAGCGUGAGUGACGGUAAUGGGUAAAGAAGCACCGGCUAACUACGUG